CAGUCGCCGCGGUAAUACGGAGGAUCCAAGCGUUAUCCGGAAUCAUUGGGUUUAAAGGGUCCGUAGGCGGUCUUGUAAGUCAGUGGUGAAAGCCCAUCGCUCAACGGUGGAACGGCCAUUGAUACUGCAGGACUUGAAUUAUUGGGAAGUAACUAGAAUAUGUAGUGUAGCGGUGAAAUGCUUAGAGAUUACAUGGAAUACCAAUUGCGAAGGCAGGUUACUACCAAUUGAUUGACGCUGAUGGACGAAAGCGUGGGUAGCGAACAGGAUUAGAUACCCGCGUAGUCCCUGUCUCUUAUAA
rnacentral:rRNA from 1 species